AUUGAACGCUGGCGGCAUGCCUUACACAUGCAAGUCGAACGGUAACAGGUUAAGCUGACGAGUGGCGAACGGGUGAGUAAUGUAUCGGAACGUGCCCAGUCGUGGGGGAUAACUACUCGAAAGAGUGGCUAAUACCGCAUACGACCUGAGGGUGAAAGCGGGGGACCGUAAGGCCUCGCGCGAUUGGAGCGGCCGAUAUCAGAUUAGCUAGUUGGUGGGGUAAAAGCCCACCAAGGCGACGAUCUGUAGCUGGUCUGAGAGGACGACCAGCCACACUGGGACUGAGACACGGCCCAGACUCCUACGGGAGGCAGCAGUGGGGAAUUUUGGACAAUGGACGCAAGUCUGAUCCAGCCAUGCCGCGUGCGGGAAGAAGGCCUUCGGGUUGUAAACCGCUUUUGUCAGGGAAGAAACGAGUUUCUCUAAUACAGAGACUUAAUGACGGUACCUGAAGAAUAAGCACCGGCUAACUACGUGCCAGCCGCCGCAGUAAUAC
rnacentral:rRNA from 1 species